rnacentral:rRNA from 1 species
AGGACGAACGCUGGCGGCGUGCUUAACACAUGCAAGUCGAGCGGAAAGGCCUUUCGGGGUACUCGAGCGGCGAACGGGUGAGUAACACGUGAGUAAUCUGCCCAUCGCUUCAGGAUAGCCAUCGGAAACGGUGAUUAAUACUGGAUAUGACAUUCCUUCGCAUGUUGGGGUGUGGUAAAGUUUUUUCGGCGGUGGAUGUGCUCGCGGCCUAUCAGCUUGUUGGUGGGUAAUGGCCUACGAAGGCUUUGACGGGUA